UACAGAGGUCUCAAGCGUUGUUCGGAUUCAUUGGGCGUAAAGGGUGCGUAGGCGGCGCUGUAAGUCGGGGGUGAAAUCUUGGAGCUUAACUCCGAAACUGCAUUCGAUACUGCAGUGCUUGAGGACUGGAGAGGAGACUGGAAUUUACGGUGUAGCGGUGAAAUGCGUAGAUAUCGUAAGGAAGACCAGUGGCGAAGGCGGGUCUCUGGACAGUUACUGACGCUGAGGCACGAAGGCCAGGGGAGCAAACGGG
rnacentral:rRNA from 1 species